GGCGCAAGGGUGAGUAACACGUGGGUAACCUGCCCUUGAAACCGGGAUAACUUCGCGAAAGCAUUGCUAAUACCGGAUAUAGUCCUUUUUGCCGUGGCAUGAAGGAUGAAAGGUGACCUCUUCAUGAAAGUUGCCGUUGAAGGAUGGGCUCGCGCACCAUUAGCUUGUUGGUAGGGUAAUGGCCUACCAAGGCUACGAUGGUUAGCUGGUUUGAGAGGAUGACCAGCCACUCUGGAACUGAAACACGGUCCAGACUCCUACGGGAGGCAGCACUGAGGAAUUUUGCGCAAUGGGCGAAAGCCUGACGCAGCAACGCCGUGUGAGUGUAGAAGGCCUUCGGGUUGUAAAGCUCUGUCAAGUGGGAAAAAAUGCUUUUAGUGAAUAGCUAAGGGAGUUGAUGGUACCACUAGAGCAAGCACCGGCUAACUCCGUGCCAGCAGCCGCGGUAAUACGGAGGGAGCGAGCGUUGUUCGGAAUUACUGGGCGUAAAGGGCGUGUAGGCGGAUAGGCAAGUCAGAUGUGAAAGCCCCGGGCUUAACCUGGGAAGUGCAUUUGAAACUGCCGAUCUUGAGUAUGGGAGGGGAGAGUGGAAUUCCCAGUCUAGAGGUGAAAUUCGAAGAUAUUGGGAGGAACAUCUGUGGCGAAGGCGACUCU
rnacentral:rRNA from 1 species